rnacentral:rRNA from 1 species
AGUGAACGCUGGCGGUAGGCCUAACACAUGCAAGUCGAACGGCAGCACAGUAAGAGCUUGCUCUUACGGGUGGCGAGUGGCGGACGGGUGAGGAAUACAUCGGAAUCUACUUUUUCGUGGGGGACAACGUAGGGAAACUUACGCUAAUACCGCAUACGACCUACGGGUGAAAGCAGGGGAUCUUCGGACCUUGCGCGAUUGAAUGAGCCGAUGUCGGAUUAGCUAGUUGGCGGGGUAAAGGCCCACCAAGGCGACGAUCCGUAGCUGGUCUGAGAGGAUGAUCAGCCACACUGGACCUGAGACACGGUCCAGACUCCUACGGGAGGCAGCAGUGGGGAAUAUUGGACAAUGGGCGCAAGCCUGAUCCAGCCAUACCGCGUGGGUGAAGAAGGCCUUCGGGUUGUAAAGCCCUUUUGUUGGGAAAGAAAAGCAGCAGGUUAAUACCCCGCUGUUCUGACGGUACCCAAAGAAUAAGCACCGGCUAACUUCGUG